UCCCCAUGGGUUUAUUGCCCAUGGUGGACUUGGACUUGGGUGUUGCCAAUCGGCUUGCCUCAAAGACGUUAGUGGGGACAGUUGCCCAUGGCCUGACGUAAUAAGUUUCGUCUCGUCCGGCCUCUGCAUCCGCUGAUAACCCCGCCUUCUGGCACUUUAUGUCUGACCUCAAAUCAGGUAGGGCUACCCGCUGAACUUAA
rnacentral:misc_RNA from 1 species